CCGGGUUUGACAUGCAGGUAGUAGGGAACUGAAAGGGGACCGACCCUUCGGGGAGCCUGCACAGGUGCUGCAUGGCUGUCGUCAGCUCGUGUCGUGAGAUGUCCGGUUAAGUCCGGUAACGAGCGCAACCCACGUCGUAUGUUACAAGUGUCAUACGAUACUGCCGGUAUAAAGCCGGAGGAAGGUGUGGAUGACGUCAAGUCAGCAUGGCCUUUAUGUCCGGGGCUACACACACGCUACAAUGGCCAGUACAAUAGGUAGCAAAUCUGCGAAGAAGAGCCAAUCCUGAAAGCUGGUCACAGUUCAGAUUGUAGGCUGCAACUCGCCUACAUGAAGUUGGAGUUGCUAGUAACCGCGCGUCAGCAUUAGUGCGGUGAAUGCGUUCCC
rnacentral:rRNA from 1 species